GUCCCUCUGUGAGCAAGUCCCGUGGCGAGGCGGCCAGUCCAGCCUGAGCGGUCUGACCCUGGAGCCCUGCUGUCCUCUCCUGCCUUCUUUAGGAGGAAGCAAGUCAGUGUCACUGAACUGCGUUCUGUCGCCCUUCACCCCACAGGACUCGGUUCGAGGUGGAUUCUUUACCAGCUGGGCCACAAGGGAUGCCCUGUUCAAGGCUGCUGUCCUCUAAAAGGUAAGC
ensembl:lncRNA